ACCGGCGGCGAGAGCGGCGGGGCACCACCUCUACCCAUACCGAACAGAGCCGUUAAGCCCGCCAGCGCCGAUGGUACUGCCCGGAAGGGUGGGAGAGUAGGUUACCGCCGGAC
rnacentral:rRNA from 1 species